rnacentral:rRNA from 1 species
GCGCACCAGACGCGAAACCUCCGCAAUGCGGGAAACCGCGACGGGGGACCCCGAGUGCCGUGGCAACGCCACGGCUUUUCCGGAGUGUAAAAAGCUCCGGGAAUAAGGGCUGGGCAAGGCCGGUGGCAGCCGCCGCGGUAAUACCGGCGGCCCGAGUGGUGGCCGGCUAUUAUUGGGGCCUAAAGCGUCCGUAGCCGGGCCCGUAAGUCCCCGGCGAAAUCCCGACGGCUCAACCGUGGGGCUUGCUGGGGAUACUGCGGGUCUUGGGACCGGGAGAGGCGGGGGGUACCCCUGGGGUAGGGGUGGAAAUCCUAUAAUCCCAGGGGGACCGCCAGUGGCGAAGGCGCCCCGCUGGAACGGGUCCGACGGUGAGGGA